GACGAACGCUGGCGGCGUGCUUAACACAUGCAAGUCGAACGGAAAGGCCCUGCUUUUGUGGGGUGCUCGAGUGGCGAACGGGUGAGUAACACGUGAGUAACCUGCCCUUGACUUUGGGAUAACUUCAGGAAACUGGGGCUAAUACCGGCUAGGAGCUCCUGCUGCAUGGUGGGGGUUGGAAAGUUUCGGCGGUUGGGGAUGGUCUGGCGGCUUAUCAGCUUGUUGGUGGGGUAGUGGCUUACGAAGGCUUUGACGGGUAGCCGGCCUGAGAGGGUGACCGGCCACAUUGGGACUGAGAUACGGCCCAGACUCCUACGGGAGGCAGCAGUGGGGAAUAGUGCACAAUGGGCGGAAGCCUGAUGCAGCAACGCCGCGUGCGGGAUGACGGCCUUCGGGUUGUAAACCGCUUUCGCCUGUGACGAAGAGUGAGUGACGGUAAUGGGUAAAGAAGCAACGGCUAACUACGUG
rnacentral:rRNA from 1 species